GUAGGGUGCAAGCGUUAAUCGGAAUUACUGGGCGUAAAGCGUGCGCAGGCGGUUUUGUAAGUCUGUCGUGAAAGCCCCGGGCUCAACCUGGGAAUUGCGAUGGAGACUGCAAGGCUUGAAUCUGGCAGAGGGGGGUAGAAUUCCACGUGUAGCAGUGAAAUGCGUAGAGAUGUGGAGGAACACCGAUGGCGAAGGCAGCCCCCUGGGUCAAGAUUGACGCUCAUGCACGAAAGCGUGGGGGGAGCAAACAGGAUUAGAUACCCUGGUAGUCCACGCCCCUAAACGAUGUCUACUAGUUGUCGGGUUUUAAUUAACUUGGUAACGCAGCUAACGCGUGAAGUAGACCGCCUGGGGAGUACGGUCGCAAGAUUA
rnacentral:rRNA from 1 species